CUUCUUCUUCUUCUUCUUCUUCUUCUUCUCAGGUCUCUCGGGAGCCAUUGAAGUAGAGGACGGGACCUUCUCAUUGGGGCAAAGAUGGCGAAGACUCAUGGUAUGGGAGCUGCACGCAAGCUCAAGACGCACAGAAGGAAUCAGAGGUGGGCUGAUAGAACAUACAAGAAGAGUCACCUUGGCAAUGAAUGGAAGAAACCAUUUGCUGGCUAUUCUCAUGCAAAAGGAAUAGUUUUUGAGCAAAAUUGAUACAAGCAGAGGCAUUGAGGCAAAGCAACCCAACUCUGCCAUCCGGAAGUGUGCCCAAGUUCAGUUGAUCAAGAAUGGAAAGAAGAUUGCUGCAUUUGUUCCUAAUGAUAGUUGCUGGCUCUUCUCAUGCUAAAGGAAUAGUUCUUGAGCAAAAUAGGCAUUGAGGCAAGGCAGCCCAACUCUGCCAUCCGGAAGUGUGCCCGAGUUCAGUUGAGCAAGAACGGAAAGAAGAUUGCUGCAUUUGUUCCCAAUGAUGACUGCUUAAACUACAUUGAGGAAAAUGAUGAGGUGUUGAUUCCUGGAGUCAGGUUUAAGGUGGUGAAGGUCUCAGGCGUGUCUUUGUUAGCACUUUUCAAGGAGAAGUAAGAGAAGCCCAGAUCUUAGAGAAUAAUGAAUAUCAAUUCUAAACAAAGUUUUGGAAUUUCAGAAGCCUAUUCCAAUUUGAGAGAACAGUCUCUUUGUAGUAAACAAAUAUAUAUUGUGAUUCUUGUUGCUUAUGAUUAUUAGUUAACAAUUAUGGACUAUGAGACUACUCUUGUCUUGACAU